UAUAUAUUUCGAAUUUUAAUAUUUUUCUAUGAAACAACUUAUAACAUAUCAAUCCUUCUUUUCAUUUCUAUCUAAGACCAUGCAUAUAAAAUGCAGCAAAGUUACUAAUGUUACUAUAACCGAGAUUAAUAACCUAUUGUCGACUGUUAAUUCGUUGAUAACGUUGUAACAUUUAUUAAAAUAUCCGUCGUUUCUUACAGGAUGAGACGAUUAUUCUCUAUUGUUCUUCGAAUAAUAAGGCUCGAUGAUGAAUCGUGUCGUGAAUUAAUUAAGAUAAGUUGUCAACUCUGAUUAUUGACAUGAAACAUCUCCUUCAAGAAUCAUCACAAUAGGAACGACGAAUUCUUGUGGAUCAUUGUCGAACAGCUGUGCAUUAUAAUUAAAAUGAAAGUGUCUGAUGGAGGCUAAUGAUGCUGUUUACCAACUGACCCCGCUUCUUCGUAUUCGAUGUCACCAUUCGAUUGCAGAACCUUCUCUUGAACGGAAAUCAAACGUAUAUAAAUGGUUGUAAAUCGAUAUGUUAAUGUGGCGCAAAGUUCGGCGGGGUCGGUUAGGUCAAUGUGACGUCAGCGGAUACGGAGACCCUCGACGUGGUGAACUGCGACAAUAUUUGCGUGUAAAACGUUUCUUGAAUGUAUGCAUACGGUAUGAUCGUGGCCAAUAUAUCGACUUGUCCCUUCCUUAUUUCGGAAUUCUGCCGGAAACAGGUCAGCGCUAACCUUAGCAGUAGUCGAUCAUUUUUGCGAUUUCUACUGAUGCAGGCGAUUAAUAUCGAAAGAGAAGAAACGGGAAAAAUGGGACAAGAUCAAAAUAAAUUAAUAAAUUGAAUAGUCAGUCGUUUCUUUGGAUGACCCGUGGUCCAUUCUCUGAUCCUUCACAGUUAAUGCUCCUCCCUGUUGAUUCCACCAUGGAGAAAAAAGAAAAACGAUAACCCCAGAUACCAUAGCGAGUACAUACGUGUUUGUUAUCAUUCUCGUAAUACUCGGACGAUCGUGUUGCUAACCGAGAUACAGCGUAUUCGCUUUACAAACGAGUUUUCAAAAUGGCCAAAAUGUAUCGAAUGGAUAAGAACAUCAGGCAAUGUUUUAUCAUACGAUAAAUCCAGCUUAUCGAUCAUGCUUGCGUUUCGUUCCGAUGCGUUGUUUAAAUCAAUUUCGUUGAUGGACAGUGCAACGCGAUACCGUGACGGAGUGCCAUUUUAAUCAUCAUUAAUGAGCAUUUCGAUCAUUGAAAUACGCUCUCUUCGGCGUUGCACAGACAAAACGGUUGGAUACACGGGAUGACGCUCGUAAACGAGACAUUUAUUGGUCGUAAAGGCAUGCUGUAGGCUGUAUCUUGUGCAGUUUGGACCGAUCCUUAAAACGUAGAGAACUCGUCUUUCUGACGAUCGUUUUGUACCAGCACGUUUAGGAACCAUCAUAUGACAAUGGGGGCGUACGUAGUUGACAAACAUGGGAGCGGCGUAUUGGGUCGAUGGCAAAAGGAAUAAAGGGAAAAAAGGGGAAGGAUAUAGCAGUUGGGAUAUAUGCUAAACGAGCAUUUAAUGAGCUUUCAAGGAAACAUUAACGAGUAUUACGUAAUGAGAAUUGGAAUUCCAGGGAAAAAUGUGCUAAUUCGCCAGAAAGGCAUCGGCUACAGAGAUGUUCCAUCUAUAAGGACCGAAGAAAAAGGAACGAGAUGAUCAUCGAGCUGUGUGGUUAUGCGUUCGCUUUUGCAUAGUUUCAUGGUUCGUGGAUUUCGCGGCCGACCAACCGAAAAACUAAAACGAUGCUAUGGUAACGCCGUUUCUAAAUGCGUCUCUGGUGACGCGUCUCGCAAAGGCCUCUUCUUACUAAAUGUGACUUUAACGAGCAACAUGGAGAACGAGAAGUACGGGGAACGACCUGCGCACGGAUUUGGGCGCGGUCAAUGCCGUCUAGAUGUUCGCUAUUACUAUCCGGACCUCCUGGUAUUUUCGUCAUGGCCUACUAAUACACUCCGCAAAUUCUUGCCCUACCACGGGGGCCACUGUUCGACAAUGACGUAGUCGAGGAAAUAUGCCGAUCGUGAACCAUGUCACUGACCGUGAUGUCCAAUUUCUUCGCUUUUUAUUCUUUGAAAGCGAGCCAGUUGAAUCCGUCGUACCAUCUUCUUUGUUAGAUGCGCGAUAGAUCCGAAAACAACAAUCUCUUCUUGAUUCGCAUUUGAUCGCUGAUCAUAACCUAAAACUUUUGUACAAUUUGUGUGUUGUACUUUAGAAAUUCGGAAGUGAAAUACCAAAGAGUUGCGAAAUAAAUUUCUCAGGAAGAAAGAUGCAUAUACGAUUGACGACUGCUUCUAUAGCCUUAGCUGUCUUGUGAAAGCAUUCUUUUUCCGAAAUGUUUAGUCUUCCUUGAGAAGAGCUUCGAAUUUCUUAGCCUAAGGAGUUCGACUUGCUAUAUAUUCAUGAUUAUCAUCGUUGCGAGGAAGAACAAAAGACAGAUGCAUUUACAUUUGAAAGAUUUGUACAACAAGGAAUUUUCCAAUCGAAUACACCAUUUCCCGACAGUAUAUAUGUAUAAGUAUAUUAAUCAUCUUCCUUCGAUGGUCAUGGUUUUUAGAAAAAUUAUAUUUUUAUAACCUAUUUCACUACCUAAUGCGGAGGUAUGCUCAUGAUGUAUGUAUUGGGAACCGAGUUGCCCAUAGUCAGAAGCCACUCUUCUUUCAUUACGAAAUGCUAUUACCUUGUAGCGCGUGUCUUAAAAACACUAGGAAAUUAAACGUUUACGCAAUCUUCUCACUUUUAGAAUUCGCUAAAGAAAGACGUACAAAAAACAUUCAAUUUUUAACGAUUUUUGUUAUUCGAGAAAAUGUAUUCAUGUUACAUUCAGUAAGCUAUAAAGAUAUUAAAGUUAAUUUUCAGUCUUACAAUGAAAAACUGUCUUUCUAUCUGCAUCUCGUCACAAUUGCCAACAUGUGUAGAGUCGAUGAUGCAAUAUCAACUAUAUAUAUAUUUGUUUCUCCGCGCAUCGAACAUUUAUCUGUUCAACUCAUUAUCGAUGAACGCCAGUCUUGCCCUAUUUCGUAAGCCUCGGUCAUCGUGCAACGCUAUUUAGCUCCCAAGGCGAUAAAAUUUUUUGAAUUUGGGACACGAGAAAACACAGGGUCGUUAGGUCGUUCCCAGUUGAUAAUAUACUACCGAUGUGAAAUACAUAUAAGUGCAUUUGUUAAACAAAUGAUACAGCGGUGAAUAGGGUGAGAUUUCACUCAACGACAAGUCAUGCUACACGGUGAAGAUGAUAUAAAUCAUCAUUGCGACGAAUCGAACGUCCCAUUCGAACGCGCAUUAUCGCGUCUGGCAAUCGAGGCAGAUAAAGAGUUCUCUGUCGCAAUCAACUCGUGCUCGUAAUAUAUACCGUUGAUAAUUAAGCGAUCAUUGCUUUUUCUCAUGACUACUUUUCCUUUUCUUUAGAAUGCUAAAUGUGUAUGGGACUUCGCAAGGUAAAAACAGAAAGAUAAGAAGUCUGUAACCACGCGUUAUGAGCCUUGAACUCAUUGUCACUGUUGUCAGUGACGAAGCACUCUGUGCCAACAGUCGUCGUCAUGAAGUGCAACAAUGUGAGUGUACUUGCAACUUUAACGUUACCUUCGAUGACUAACGAUUUAAUACGAAUUCCACUAGCUACUCAAGAAUUUAGUCACAUUUUAUAAGAUGUAUGUAAAGUCGUAAAAUAAUUUUGUGAAUUAUAUUCUACAUUGACGAAUAUGACUGAAUCAUUGAAGAACUGUAGGUUUAUUCGAAUAUGUGAGGAGACAAGAUAGCGACAACCGAAUGGUUUCAAUAGUAGAGAUUCGUUAGUUGUUUCCUUCACUUAUUUUUUACUAGUUUCCAUAAUAGGUACUGAUGUUUAGAAAAUUGAAGUCUAUAUGCUUGGCUUAUAUUGACUGCAGCGAAUCUUAAACCUUC